rnacentral:rRNA from 1 species
CCUACGGGAGGCAGCAGUGGGGAAUAUUGGGCAAUGGGCGCAAGCCUGACCCAGCAACGCCGCGUGAAGGAAGAAGGCUCUCGGGUUGUAAACUCCUUUUCUCCGGGACGCAGAAAGUGACGGUACCUGACGAAUAAGCCACGGCUAACUACGUGCCAGCAGCCGCGGUAAUACGUAGGCGGCAUGCGUUAUCCGGAUUUACUGGGUGUAAAGGGCGUGUAGGCGGGACUGCAAGUCAGAUGGGAAAACCACGGGCUCAACCUGUGGCCUGCAUUUGAAACUGGAGUUCUUGAGUACUGGAGAGGCAGACGGAAUGCGUGGUGUAGCGGUGAAAUGCAUAGAUAUUAGGAGGAACACCGGUGGCGAAGGCGGUCUGCUGGAGAGCAACUGACGCUGAGGCGCGAAAGCGUGGGGAGCGAACAGGAUUAGAUACCCUUGUAGUC